GAUGAACGCUGGCGGCGUGCUUAACACAUGCAAGUCGAGCGAGAAGUUUUGAAAAGAUUCUUCGGAUGAAAUUUAAAAUGGAAAGCGGCGGACGGGUGAGUAACGCGUAGGCAACCUGCCCCAUACAAAGGGAUAGCAUUUGGAAACGAAUAUUAAUACCUUAUGAAACUUAACUAGUGCAUGCUAGGUAGGUCAAAGAUUUAUCGGCAUGGGAUGGGCCUGCGUCUGAUUAGCUAGUUGGUGAGGUAACGGCUCACCAAGGCGACGAUCAGUAGCCGUCCUGAGAGGGUGAACGGCCACAUUGGAACUGAGACACGGUCCAAACUCCUACGGGAGGCAGCAGUGGGGAAUAUUGCACAAUGGGGGAAACCCUGAUGCAGCAACGCCGCGUGAACGAUGAAGGCCUUUGGGUCGUAAAGUUCUGUUCUAGGUGAUGAAAACUGACAGUAACCUAGGAGAAAGCCCCGGCUAACUCCGUG
rnacentral:rRNA from 1 species